AGGACAUCUGCUUCACUUGUUGAUUUCUUAAGGGGAUCCUGGCUCUCCCAUAGUAACUUGUGGCCCACAUGUAUCUGCCAUCAUUCAGCUGUUCACCAAGCUCUGUGCCAAGAAUGAAGAGAAAUCUAAGAAAGCAGUUAUGGCCUCUGAACUAUCACGGGUGGAAGUGACUUCUGACCACCCCAGCACCUGACAGUAUGUGAGGCAUCGGCAAUAGCAUCUGGUCACACAACUUCUUCCAGAAGGCCCACCCACGGCCAGCUUCCCUUCACACUGGCAGAACGAAAGCAUCAGCAUUCCCAGACCAUGAGGCUCGCCAAGAACUCAAAUGCUUAUUCAAUAGAACAAAUAUGGUUGAA